GGAUACCCGCUGAACUUAAGCAUAUCAAUAAGCGGAGGAAAAGAAACCAACAGGGAUUGCCCUAGUAACGGCGAGUGAAGCGGCAACAGCUCAAAUUUGAAAGCUAGCCUUCGGGUUCGCAUUGUAAUUUGUAGAGGAUGCUUUGGGUAAAACGCCAGUCUAAGUUCCUUGGAACAGGACGUCAUAGAGGGUGAGAAUCCCGUAUGUGACUGGAAAUGUUAACCUAUGUAAAGCUCCUUCGACGAGUCGAGUUGUUUGGGAAUGCAGCUCUAAAUGGGAGGUAAAUUUCUUCUAAAGCUAAAUAUUGGCGAGAGACCGAUAGCGCACAAGUAGAGUGAUCGAAAGAUGAAAAGCACUUUGGAAAGAGAGUUAAAAAGCACGUGAAAUUGUUGAAAGGGAAGCGCUUGCAAUCAGACUUGUUUAAACUGUUCGGCCGGUCUUCUGACCGGUUUACUCAGUUUGGACAGGCCAGCAUCAGUUUCGGCGGCCGGAUAAAGGCUCUGGGAAUGUGGCCUCCACUUCGGUGGAGGUGUUAUAGCCCAGUGUGUAAUACGGCCAGCCGGGACUGAGGUCCGCGCUCGGCUAGG
rnacentral:rRNA from 1 species